rnacentral:rRNA from 1 species
CUCCUAAAUGUCCUGGGCCGCACGCGCACUACACUGACGCAAGCAGUGAGUUCCACUCGCAUUUCAGUAGUCCUGCUCAUCACUGAGUGGGCAAUCUGGUCAACCUGCGUCGUGUUGGGGAUAGAUGAUUGCAAUUAUUCGCCUUGAACGAGGAAUGCCUAGUAAUGGCGGUUCAUCAGACCGCCAUGACUAAGUCCCUGCCAUUUGUACACACCGCCCGUCGUUGCUACCGAUUGGCUGUGAAACAGAGGCCUUAGGAGGUUCGCUGCAGUGCUCUCGGGCGCUGGCAAGUGAUGCCAAAUUCGACCAAUGUUUCACUGCUAGAGGAAGCAAAAGCCGUAACA